rnacentral:rRNA from 1 species
GAUGAACGCUGGCGGCGUGCCUAAUACAUGCAAGUCGAGCGAACAGACGAGGAGCUUGCUCCUCUGACGUUAGCGGCGGACGGGUGAGUAACACGUGGAUAACCUACCUAUAAGACUGGGAUAACUUCGGGAAGCCGGAGCUAAUACCGGAUAAUAUAUUGAACCGCAUGGUUAAAUAGUGAAAGACGGUUUUGCUGUCACUUAUAGAUGGAUCCGCGCCGCAUUAGCUAGUUGGUAAGGUAACGGCUUACCAAGGCGACGAUGCGUAGCCGACCUGAGAGGGUGAUCGGCCACACUGGAACUGAGACACGGUCCAGACUCCUACGGGAGGCAGCAGUAGGGAAUCUUCCGCAAUGGGCGAAAGCCUGACGGAGCAACGCCGCGUGAGUGAUGAAGGUCUUCGGAUCGUAAAACUCUGUUAUUAGGGAAGAACAAAUGUGUAAGUAACUAUGCACGUCUUGACGGUACCUAAUCAGAAAGCCACGGCUAACUACGUG